CAUGCAAGUCGAGCGGUUGACGGGAGCUUGCUCCCUGAUUCAGCGGCGGACGGGUGAGUAAUGCCUAGGAAUCUGCCUAUUAGUGGGGGACAACGUUUCGAAAGGAACGCUAAUACCGCAUACGUCCUACGGGAGAAAGCAGGGGACCUUCGGGCCUUGCGCUAAUAGAUGAGCCUAGGUCGGAUUAGCUAGUUGGUGAGGUAAUGGCUCACCAAGGCGACGAUCCGUAACUGGUCUGAGAGGAUGAUCAGUCACACUGGAACUGAGACACGGUCCAGACUCCUACGGGAGGCAGCAGUGGGGAAUAUUGGACAAUGGGCGAAAGCCUGAUCCAGCCAUGCCGCGUGUGUGAAGAAGGUCUUCGGAUUGUAAAGCACUUUAAGUUGGGAGGAAGGGUUGUAAAUUAAUACUCUGCUGUUUUGACGUUACCGACAGAAUAAGCACCGGCUAACUCUGUGCCAGCAGCCGCGGUAAUACAGAGGGUGCAAGCGUUAAUCGGAAUUACUGGGCGUAAAGCGCGCGUAGGUGGUUUGUUAAGUUGGAUGUGAAAGCCCCGGGCUCAACCUGGGAACUGCAUCCAAAACUGGCAAGCUAGAGUACGGUAGAGGGUGGUGGAAUUUCCUGUGUAGCGGUGAAAUGCGUAGAUAUAGGAAGGAACACCAGUGGCGAAGGCGACCACCUGGACUGAUACUGACACUGAGGUGCGAAAGCGUGGGGAGCAAACAGGAUUAGAUACCCUGGUAGUCCACGCCGUAAACGAUGUCAACUAGCCGUUGGAAUCCUUGAGAUUUUAGUGGCGCAGCUAACGCAUUAA
rnacentral:rRNA from 1 species